ACAGGGGGAUAACUGAUGGAAACGUCAGCUAAGACCGCAUAGGUGUAGAGAUCGCAUGAACUCUAUAUGAAAAGUGCUACGGGACUGGUAGAUGAUGGACUUAUGGCGCAUUAGCUGGUUGGUAGGGUAACGGCCUACCAAGGCGACGAUGCGUAGCCGACCUGAGAGGGUGACCGGCCACACUGGGACUGAGACACGGCCCAGACUCCUACGGGAGGCAGCAGUAGGGAAUUUUCGGCAAUGGGGGGAACCCUGACCGAGCAACGCCGCGUGAAGGAAGAAGUAAUUCGUUAUGUAAACUUCUGUCAUAGAGGAAGAACGGUGGAUAUAGGGAAUGAUAUCCAAGUGACGGUACUCUAUAAGAAAGCCACGGCUAACUACGUGCCAGCAGCCGCGGUAAUACGUAGGUGGCGAGCGUUAUCCGGAAUUAUUGGGCGUAAAGAGGGAGCAGGCGGCACUAAGGGUCUGUGGUGAAAGAUCGAAGCUUAACUUCGGUAAGCCAUGGAAACCGUAGAGCUAGAGUGUGUGAGAGGAUCGUGGAAUUCCAUGUGUAGCGGUGAAAUGCGUAGAUAUAUGGAGGAACACCAGUGGCGAAGGCGACGAUCUGGCGCAUAACUGACGCUCAGUCCCGAAAGCGUGGGGAGCAAAUAGGAUUAGAUACCCUAGUAGUCCACGCCGUAAACGA
rnacentral:rRNA from 1 species